rnacentral:rRNA from 1 species
CUACGGGGCGCUGCAGUCGAGAAUCUUCCGCAAUGGACGAAAGUCUGACGGAGCGACGCCGCGUGAUUGAUGAAGCUUUUCGGAGUGUAAAAAUCUUUUAUGAGGGAAGAAAUUUAUUGACGGUACCUCAUGAAUAAGAGGCUCCUAAUCUCGUGCCAGCAGGAGCGGUAAUACGAGAGCCUCGAGCGUUAUCCGGAAUCAUUGGGCGUAAAGGGUGCGUAGGCGGUUAUAUUAGUCGUUUGUUAAAGCCCCAGGCUUAACCUGGGAUAAGCGAGCGAAACGGUAUAACUAGAGAGUGUGAGAGGUGUACGGAACUCAUGGUGUAGGGGUGAAAUCCGUUGAUAUCAUGGGGAACACCAAAAGCGAAGGCAGUACACUGGCACACAUCUGACGCUCAAGCACGAAAGCGUGGGUAGCGAAUGGGAUUAGAUACCCGGGUAGUC